rnacentral:rRNA from 1 species
AUUGAACGAUGGCGGCAGGCUUAACACAUGCAAGUCGAGCGAACGGCGGACGGGUGAGUAAUGUCUGGGAAACUGCCUGAUGGCGGGGGAUAACUACUGGAAACGGUAGCUACUACCGCAUACCCACCUAUGUGCACAGAUGGGAGUAGCUCGGAGGUGGGGUAAUGGCUCACCUAGGCGACGAUCCCUAGCUGGUCUGAGAGUCUGACCAGCAAGACUGGAACUGAGACACGGGUCAGACUCCUAGGGGAGGCAGCAGUGGGGAAUAGUGCACAAUGGGCGCAAGCCUGAUGCAGCCAUGCGGCGUGGGUGACGAAGGCCUUCGGGUGGUAAAGCACUUUCAGCGAGGAGGCGUUACUCGAAGAAGAAGCUCCGGCUAACUACGUGCUAGCAGCCGCGGUAAUAC